rnacentral:lncRNA from 1 species
ACCGCCCCUGGCAGUCGGAAGUUGCUUGAACGGAGCUCAGCCGGCCGGCCAAGCGACCGGUUUUCGUCGUCUCCUGGGCGCCCUGUGAGAGUCACUGACGGGUGGAAGGACUGACCGCCAGUGGAGGGCCGGCCGGGGCAGUGGCAGCGCGGGCCGGAUGGCGCGGGUCGCGUGAGGCGGCAGGCCGAGUGCGGCCCGCGGUGCGCCCGCCCAGCGAUGCGGGCCCCGCCCGUCGCCUCAG